CCGUAUGGGGUGCAGCAGUCGCGACACCUCCGCAAUGCAUGCAAGUGCGACGCGUCGACCUCAAGUGCCACUCUUAACGGGGUGGCUUGUCAGGAGUGUAAAAAGCUCCUGGAAUAAGGGCUGGGCAAGACCGGUGCCAGCCGCCGCGGUAACACCGGCAGCUCGAGUGGUAGCCGCGUUUAUUGGUCGUAAAGCGUCCGUAGCCGGUCCGAUAAGUCUCUGGUGAAAGCCCACAGCUCAACUGUGGGAAUCGCUGGAGAUACUAUCGGACUUGAGGCCGGGAGAGGCUGGAGGUACUCCCAGGGUAGGGGUGAAAUCCUAUAAUCCUGGGAGGACCACCUGUGGCGAAGGCGUCCAGCUGGAACGGACCUGACGGUGAGGGACGAAAGCCAGGGGCGCGAACCGGAUUAGAUACCCGGGUAGUCCUGGCUGUAAACGAUGCGCACUUGGUGUUGGGAUGGCUUUGAGCUGUCCCAGUGCCGAAGGGAAGCUGUCAAGUCCGCCGCCUGGGAAGUACGGCCGCAAGGCUGAAACUUAAAGGAAUUGCCGGGGGAGCACCACAACGCGUGGAGCCUGCGGUUCAAUUGGAUUCAACGCCGGUCAUCUCACCAGGGGCGACAGCAGGAUGAUGGCCAGGUUGACGACCUUGCGGGACAAGCUGAGAGGAAGUGCAUGGCC
rnacentral:rRNA from 1 species